AGUCGACGAUGAAUCUUCUAGCUUGCUAGAAGUGGAUUAGUGGCGCACGGGUGAGUAAUGCAUAGGUUAUGUGCCCUUUAGUCUGGGAUAGCCACUGGAAACGGUGAUUAAUACUGGAUACUCCCUACGGGGGAAAGUUUUUCGCUAAAGGAUCAGCCUAUGUCCUAUCAGCUUGUUGGUGAGGUAAUGGCUCACCAAGGCUAUGACGGGUAUCCGGCCUGAGAGGGUGAUCGGACACACUGGAACUGAGACACGGUCCAGACUCCUACGGGAGGCAGCAGUAGGGAAUAUUGCUCAAUGGGGGAAACCCUGAAGCAGCAACGCCGCGUGGAGGAUGAAGGUUUUAGGAUUGUAAACUCCUUUUGUUAGAGAAGAUUAUGACGGUAUCUAACGAAUAAGCACCGGCUAACUCCGUGCCAGCAGCCGCGGUAAUACGGAGGGUGCAAGCGUUACUCGGAAUCACUGGGCGUAAAGAGUGCGUAGGCGGGGUAAUAAGUCAGAUGUGAAAUCCUGUAGCUUAACUACAGAACUGCAUUUGAAACUGUUACUCUGGAGUGUGGGAGAGGUAGGUGGAAUUCUUGGUGUAGGGGUAAAAUCCGUAGAGAUCAAGAGGAAUACUCAUUGCGAAGGCGACCUGCUGGAACAUUACUGACGCUGAUGCACGAAAGCGUGGGGAGCAAACAGGAUUAGAUACCCUGGUAGUCCACGCCCUAAACGAUGGAUGCUAGUUGUUGCCUUGCUUGUCAGGGCAGUAAUGCAGCUAACGCAUUAAGCAUCCCGCCUGGGGAGUACGGUCGCAAGAUUAAAACUCAAAGGAAUAGACGGGGACCCGCACAAGCGGUGGAGCAUGUGGUUUAAUUCGAAGAUACGCGAAGAACCUUACCUAGGCUU
rnacentral:rRNA from 1 species